rnacentral:rRNA from 1 species
AUGAACGCUGGCGGCGUGCCUAAUACAUGCAAGUCGAGCGAACAGACGAGGAGCUUGCUCCUCUGACGUUAGCGGCGGACGGGUGAGUAACACGUGGAUAACCUACCUAUAAGACUGGGAUAACUUCGGGAAACCGGAGCUAAUACCGGAUAAUAUAUUGAACCGCAUGGUUCAAUAGUGAAAGACGGUUUUGCUGUCACUUAUAGAUGGAUCCGCGCCGCAUUAGCUAGUUGGUAAGGUAACGGCUUACCAAGGCAACGAUGCGUAGCCGACCUGAGAGGGUGAUAGGCCACACUGGAACUGAGACACGGACCAGACUCCUACGGGAGGCAGCAGUAGGGAAUCUUACGCAAUGGGCGAAAGCCUGACGGAGCAACGCCGCGUGAGUGAUGAAGGUCCUCGGAUCGUAAAACUCUGUUAUUAGGGAAGAACAAAUGUGUAAGUAACUAUGCACGUCUUGACGGUACCUAAUCAGAAAGCCACGGCUAACUACGUG